rnacentral:rRNA from 1 species
UACGGAGGGUGCAAGCGUUAUCCGGAAUCACUGGGUUUAAAGGGUGCGUAGGCGGUGUAGUAAGUCAGUCGUGAAAUCGCUGGGCUCAACCCAUGCAAUUGCGAUUGAUACUGCUACACUUGAAUGGGGUUAAGGCAGGCGGAAUGUGGCAUGUAGCGGUGAAAUGCAUAGAUAUGCCAUAGAACACCGAUUGCGAAGGCAGCCUGCUGGGCCUUUAUUGACGCUGAGGCACGAAAGCGUGGGGAGCAAACAGGAUUAGAUACCCUGGUAGUCCACGCCCUAAACGAUGUUUACUUGCUGUUUGCCCUUUGGGGUGAGUGGCGUAGCGAAAGCGAUAAGUAAACCACCUGGGGAGUACGCCGGCAACGGUGAA